rnacentral:rRNA from 1 species
UACGGAGGGUGCAAGCGUUAUCCGGAUUCACUGGGUUUAAAGGGUGCGUAGGUGGGCUAGUAAGUCCGUGGUGAAAUCUCCAAGCUUAACUUGGAAACUGCCGUGGAUACUAUUAGUCUUGAAUAUUGUGGAGGUAAGCGGAAUAUGUCAUGUAGCGGUGAAAUGCUUAGAUAUGACAUAGAACACCGAUAGCGAAGGCAGCUUGCUGGGCAAUCAUUGACACUGAGGCACGAAAGCGUGGGGAGCAAACAGG